rnacentral:rRNA from 1 species
AAACUUAAAUGAAUUGACGGGGAGCACCACAACGGGUGGAGCUUGCGGUUUAAUUGGAUUCAACGCCGGAAAUCUUACCGGGACCGACAGCAAUAUGAAGGCCAGGCUGAAGACUUUGCCGGAUUAGCUGAGAGGUGGUGCAUGGCCGUCGUCAGUUCGUACUGUGAAGCAUCCUGUUAAGUCAGGCAACGAGCGAGACCCACGCCCACAGUUGCCAGCGUACUCUCUGGAGUGACGGGUACACUGUGGGACCGCCGCUGCUAAAGCGGAGGAAGGAAUGGGCAACGGUAGGUCAGUAUGCCCCGAAUAUCCCGGGCUACACGCGAGCUACAAUGGUUGGUACAAUGGGUAUCUACCCGAAAGGGACGGGAAUCUCCUAAAACCAAUCUUAGUUCGGAUUGAGGGCUGCAACUCGCCCUCAUGAAGCUGGAAUCCGUAGUAAUCGCGUUUCAACAGAACGCGGUGAAUACGUCCCUGCUCCUU